rnacentral:misc_RNA from 1 species
UUUGAGGCGGAUGUCCCCAAAGCGAGAGGAUCCAAAUGGUAUUGGCCAUGUAUGGAAUGAUCGUGAGUACUUUCUGAUGCACGAACGCCAAGUACCAAGAGACAGAUACUUGAGGCGGAUGUCCCCAAAGCGAGAGGAUCCAAAUGGUAUUGGCCAUGUAUGGAAUGAUCGUGAGUACUUUCUGAUGCACGAACGCCAAGUACCAAGAGACAGAUACUUGAGGCGGAUGUCCCCAAAGCGAGAGGAUCCAAAUGGUAUUGGCCAUGUAUGGAAUGAUCGUGAGUACUUUCUGAUGCACGAACGCCAAGUACCAAGAGACAGAUAUUUGAGGCGGAUGUCCCCAAAGCGAGAGGAUCCAAAUGGUAUUGGCCAUGUAUGGAAUGAUCGUACUUUCUGAUGCACGAACGCCAAGUACCAAGAGACAGAUACUUGAGGCGGAUGUCCCCAAAGCGAGAGGAUCCAAAUGGUAUUGGCCAUGUAUGGAAUGAUCGUGAUGUUGAACCAAAUGGGGGUAAAUUGGACAGUCUGGCUAGUUGCCUUUGGGUGCUAGGCUCUCUUGAUCACCCAUGCCUGGUCCACUGCCCUCUGGUUCAGUACUGUCUCA